UACGUAGGGUGCAAGCGUUGUCCGGAAUUAUUGGGCGUAAAGAGCUCGUAGGCGGUUUGUCGCGUCUGCUGUGAAAACCCGAGGCUCAACCUCGGGCCUGCAGUGGGUACGGGCAGACUAGAGUGCGGUAGGGGAGACUGGAAUUCCUGGUGUAGCGGUGAAAUGCGCAGAGAUCGGGGAGGAACACCUGUGGCGAAGGCGGCCACCUGGGCCGACCCUGAC
rnacentral:rRNA from 1 species